GACGAACGCUGGCGGCGUGCUUAACACAUGCAAGUCGAACGGUGAAGCGCCUUCCUUUUUGCUGGGUGUGGAUGAGUGGCGAACGGGUGAGUAACACGCGAGUAUCCUGCCCCCAUCUUCUGGAUAACCGCAUGAAAGUGCGGCUAAUACGGAAUAUUCUGGGCCUGUCGCAUGAUGGGUCUUGGAAAGAUAUUGUUUCGGUGGGGGAUGGGCUCGCGCCGAAUUAGCUUGUUGGUGAGGUGAUGGCUUACCAAGGCGGCGAUGCGUAGCCGCCCUGAGAGGGUGAUCGGCCAUCAUAGAACUGAGACACGGUCCAGACGCCUACGGGAGGCAGCAGUAGUGAAUCUUACGCCACGGGCGAAAGCCUGACGGAGCAACGACGCGUCAUUAGUGAAGGUCUUCGGAUCGUAAAAAUCUGUUAUUGGGGAAGAACAAAUGUGUCAGUAACUAUGCACGUCUUGACGGUAGCUAGUCAGAAAGCCACGGCUAACUACGUG
rnacentral:rRNA from 1 species